rnacentral:rRNA from 1 species
UUAAGUUAUUAAGGGCGCACGGUGGAUGCCUUGGCACUAGAAGCCGAUGAAGGACGUUACUAACGACGAUAUGCUUUGGGGAGCUGUAAGUAAGCUUUGAUCCAGAGAUUUCCGAAUGGGGAAACCCAGCAUGAGUUAUGUCAUGUUAUCGAUAUGUGAAUACAUAGCAUAUCAGAAGGCACACCCGGAGAACUGAAACAUCUUAGUACCCGGAGGAAGAGAAAGAAAAUUCGAUUCCCUUAGUAGCGGCGAGCGAAACGGGAAGAGCCCAAACCAACAAGCUUGCUUGUUGGGGUUGUAGGACACUCUAUACGGAGUUACAAAGGACGACAUUAGACGAAUCAUCUGGAAAGAUGAAUCAAAGAAGGUAAUAAUCCUGUAGUCGAAAAUGUUGUCUCUCUUGAGUGGAUCCUGAGUACGACGGAGCACGUGAAAUUCCGUCGGAAUCUGGGAGGACCAUCUCCUAAGGCUAAAUACUCUCUAGUGACCGAUAGUGAACCAGUACCGUGAGGGAAAGGUGAAAAGCACCCCGGAAGGGGAGUGAAAUAGAACCUGAAACCGUGUGCUUACAAGUAGUCAGAGCCCGUUAAUGGGUGAUGGCGUGCCUUUUGUAGAAUGAACCGGCGAGUUACGAUUUGAUGCAAGGUUAAGCAGUAAAUGUGGAGCCGUAGCGAAAGCGAGUCUGAAUAGGGCGUUUAGUAUUUGGUCGUAGACCCGAAACCAGGUGAUCUACCCUUGGUCAGGUUGAAGUUCAGGUAACACUGAAUGGAGGACCGAACCGACUUACGUUGAAAAGUGAGCGGAUGAACUGAGGGUAGCGGAGAAAUUCCAAUCGAACCUGGAGAUAGCUGGUUCUCUCCGAAAUAGCUUUAGGGCUAGCCUCAAGUGAUGAUUAUUGGAGGUAGAGCACUGUUUGGACGAGGGGCCCCUCUCGGGUUACCGAAUUCAGACAAACUCCGAAUGCCAAUUAAUUUAACUUGGGAGUCAGAACAUGGGUGAUAAGGUCCGUGUUCGAAAGGGAAACAGCCCAGACCACCAGCUAAGGUCCCAAAAUAUAUGUUAAGUGGAAAAGGAUGUGGCGUUGCCCAGACAACUAGGAUGUUGGCUUAGAAGCAGCCAUCAUUUAAAGAGUGCGUAAUAGCUCACUAGUCGAGUGACACUGCGCCGAAAAUGUACCGGGGCUAAACAUAUUACCGAAGCUGUGGAUUGUCCUUUGGACAAUGGUAGGAGAGCGUUCUAAGGGCGUUGAAGCAUGAUCGUAAGGACAUGUGGAGCGCUUAGAAGUGAGAAUGCCGGUGUGAGUAGCGAAAGACGGGUGAGAAUCCCGUCCACCGAUUGACUAAGGUUUCCAGAGGAAGGCUCGUCCGCUCUGGGUUAGUCGGGUCCUAAGCUGAGGCCGACAGGCGUAGGCGAUGGAUAACAGGUUGAUAUUCCUGUACCACCUAUAAUCGUUUUAAUCGAUGGGGGGACGCAGUAGGAUAGGCGAAGCGUGCGAUUGGAUUGCACGUCUAAGCAGUAAGGCUGAGUAUUAGGCAAAUCCGGUACUCGUUAAGGCUGAGCUGUGAUGGGGAGAAGACAUUGUGUCUUCGAGUCGUUGAUUUCACACUGCCGAGAAAAGCCUCUAGAUAGAAAAUAGGUGCCCGUACCGCAAACCGACACAGGUAGUCAAGAUGAGAAUUCUAAGGUGAGCGAGCGAACUCUCGUUAAGGAACUCGGCAAAAUGACCCCGUAACUUCGGGAGAAGGGGUGCUCUUUAGGGUUAACGCCCAGAAGAGCCGCAGUGAAUAGGCCCAAGCGACUGUUUAUCAAAAACACAGGUCUCUGCUAAACCGUAAGGUGAUGUAUAGGGGCUGACGCCUGCCCGGUGCUGGAAGGUUAAGAGGAGUGGUUAGCUUCUGCGAAGCUACGAAUCGAAGCCCCAGUAAACGGCGGCCGUAACUAUAACGGUCCUAAGGUAGCGAAAUUCCUUGUCGGGUAAGUUCCGACCCGCACGAAAGGCGUAACGAUUUGGGCACUGUCUCAACGAGAGACUCGGUGAAAUCAUAGUACCUGUGAAGAUGCAGGUUACCCGCGACAGGACGGAAAGACCCCGUGGAGCUUUACUGUAGCCUGAUAUUGAAAUUCGGCACAGCUUGUACAGGAUAGGUAGGAGCCUUUGAAACGUGAGCGCUAGCUUACGUGGAGGCGCUGGUGGGAUACUACCCUAGCUGUGUUGGCUUUCUAACCCGCACCACUUAUCGUGGUGGGAGACAGUGUCAGGCGGGCAGUUUGACUGGGGCGGUCGCCUCCUAAAAGGUAACGGAGGCGCUCAAAGGUUCCCUCAGAAUGGUUGGAAAUCAUUCAUAGAGUGUAAAGGCAUAAGGGAGCUUG